UACAGGCGUUCACCACUGUGUCUGGCCUAAAUGGUUUAUCUUUACUUAUUCUUUGGGAACAGAGACUUUGUUUUGAUUUAUGUGUUCAAAGUGUGCUGGAAUGAACUUGACAGAGCAUUUAUUAAUUUCAAUACUCCUGCUCCCUUGGAUUACGCAUAGGAUUCCUAUUAGAGUGCACAGUGUCUAAAUCUGUGUUUUAAGGGGUAAUGGUCUUCAGCCUUCCUUUCUAAAAGUUAUGGUGUUAGUUUCCUGUUUAAGGCAUUGUCCAAGUUAGAUUAUCCUCUGUUACACAUAUCUAUAAGAAAACAAAAUCUGGAAAUGAAAACUCAGAAAUCACUAGACUGAGUGGUAGUUGAUAUGCUAAUUUUAACUCAUGUGCUUCGUUACUGACUUCUGAUUAUUUAUUCAUGCUCAUGUUAAAGCUUAGUAGCUGCGAAGAUACUGCUGAUUACCUGUGCCUCUCUUAAGACUCUGGAGCCUUAAGUUUCCUGUCUCUGUGGCUGUCUUCCUUCACUAUUGAGC